CCGACGGUGAGAGACGAAAGCUGGGGGAGCAAACCGGAUUAGAUACCCGGGUAGUCCCAGCCGUAAACGAUGUGCGUUAGGUGUAUCGGUGACCACGAGUCACCGAGGUGCCGAAGAGAAAUCGUGAAACGUACCGCCUGGGAAGUACGGUCGCAAGGCUGAAACUUAAAGGAAUUGGCGGGGGAGCACCACAACAGGUGGGGCCUGCGGUUUAAUCGGACUCAACGCCGGGAAACUCACCAGAUAAGACAGCUGAAUGAUAGUCGGGCUGAAGACUCUACUUGACUAGCUGAGAGGAGGUGCAUGGCCGUCGUCAGUUCGUACUGUGAAGCAUCCUGUUAAGUC
rnacentral:rRNA from 1 species